rnacentral:lncRNA from 1 species
CCGUCUUUGUGGAUAGCCUUAGUCUUCGGAAUGUUGAGUUUUUUUGUGAUUAAUUACUUAUUCAUAAAGUGGACUCUCAUUCCGAUGAAUGAGGUCACCCUAACAUAUAGUUUCUUAAGCAUGUGGGCAUCCUUCAUGAAUCAAGGGAUACCACAUCCUAAACUCUCAUCCUAUCGAGUUCUUUUAGCAUCUUGGUUCUUAUUUUCACUCUGCGUUGUGUCAAGCUAUGCUGGAAGCCUUUUUUUCGUCACUCACUUUACGACGAUAUGAAGUAGCAAUUGAUUCUCUAAAUCAGCUUUUGAACUCUAAUUUGAAAAUUUUAGUUUUGAAGGGAAAAUAUCAUGACCAAUAUUUUCAGGAUUCAAAUGUCAAGCUAUACCAAAGAGUUUAUAAACGGUUAUACAAGGGACCCAGUGUUUGCAAUACAUUUAAAGAUUGCUUGCUCUACCUUAACGGCAACACUGGGUAAGAUUUAAUCCGGAAUCUCCAUCAUGACUCUUUUAUUUUUUAUUUACUAGAUACAGCUUUAUUUAUGAAGAAGACAUUAUCAACUCACAGUUGAAAACUAUUUUUACAGAUUCGAAUGGCAAAACUAGGUUAGCACGACGUGGUUUCCAUAAUACGGAUUUAGCGACUGUUUUUCGUAAAAACAAUCCUAUAAGGCAUGAAUACAACAAAUUGUAAGUUGUAAAAAGACAUUCUGUCUUUGUAGUGAAUUAUUGUUAUUUUCUGCGUAUGAAGUAUUCAAAAAAUACAACAGGCUGGUCUAGUCAUUUUAUGGCGUAGGAAACACAUACAUAAAAAGAAAAUGGCAAAUAGAA